GAUGAAGAACGCAGCAAAAUGCGAUAAGUAAUGUGAAUUGUAGAAUUCAGUGAAUCAUCGAAUCUUUGAACGCACAUUGCGCCCGCUGGUAUUCCGGCGGGCAUGCCUGUUCGAGCGUCAUUUCAACCCUCAAGCCCCCGGGUUUGGUGUUGGGGAUCGGCUCUGCCCUUCUGGGCGGUGCCGCCCCCGAAAUACAUUGGCGGUCUCGCUGCAGCCUCCAUUGCGUAGUAGCUAACACCUCGCAACUGGAACGCGGCGCGGCCAUGCCGUAAAACCCCAACUUCUGAAUGUUGACCUCGGAUCAGGUAGGAAUACCCGCUGAACUUAAGCAUAUCAAUAAGCGGAGGA
rnacentral:misc_RNA from 1 species